rnacentral:sRNA from 1 species
GCAGGUGGCCCCUUCCUCCAUCACUGGUCCUUGGGCCUCCCUCCCAAAGCUGCAUGCUCAGUCAAAGAGGACGACCUUCCAACCUUUGCCCCUGGAGGAGGACCGUUCUCGGUCGAGGGUAUUCGAGUAGCUGUGCUCCCCUAGAACUUCCAAACAAGUUCUCAAAUUCAAAACAAACUGAUUCUAAAAUGUAAAUUUGCAAAUUAUCCGGAUGUUGCAGAGCAGAUCGUUAGACUACAGGCUUCUCGUGGGCAGAGUCUGCAUCUAUUU